CAAAUUAUUGCCUGUUGAUCGUAUUUUCAUACAGUAUGUAUUAACUCAAAAAGCUUUUGGGAUAGUUUUGACUUAAUCCAGCAGUAUAAGUAAUAUUUUUUUCAAGUUUGAACCAUGCCGAACAUCUUUCCCAAUUUUUUUUAUUUUAAAGGUUAAAGAGACUUUUAGCGUGCGGACAGACAGGAAUUCCCAGGCUCCAGUGUAAUUUGAUGUAAGGGUCUCAGGAGGAGGAGGAGAGGCCGUCUGUCCAACCAGCAGGUGCUGGGCUCGUUUGUCAUGCAUGACCAAAUUUAGACAGGCCGCUAAUCCAGCCCACAGACCCCCGUACCCAUCCCUCGCCAAAAGAUGAGGCGGUGUUUGAGGACGGAGGCUGAGAAGCUAAAGGAGCAACAAGGAGGCGUAAGAAGAGGCGGAGGUGGCAGAGGCUAAAUUGGGUUGGCAUGGGACACCACUGGACAGCUGAGAAGGCAGGAUUCCUGAGGUGAACUGUAAAAGUACAAGACAGAGGAAGAGGGGGAGGAAGGUCAAGAAGGCGAUGCAGGGGGAAAGGAAGGAAUGGAUUUGAGAAUAUCGGGUCCGUCUUGUAAAAUGAGGUCAUGGUGGCUCGGCUGAAUGCCUCACAUAACUACAGUGUCCCCCGCCGCCGCCCAAAGAAAGAUCAGGGCUACUGACCCUCAAUACAGCUGACACGAACACCCAACCUCCUCUUUCACAUCAGAACAGGCGUCAGGCUCCUGAUGAUGUCGCUCGCUCGCCUGCCUAUCAAAGGGAUGACGCAGCCGCCGAGCUGCUGGAAGACGUCAUGGCUGUAGUCUCAGGAAGAUGUAGGAGUUUUACGAGUUUCAGACGUCAGAGCGUAACAGUGCAAUGUUUAAAAAUCUCUCCUACAAAUAAAGCUGAGCUAGCUUAAAUUAA